UUCCUGGUGAUCCAGUGGUUAGGACUCUGCACUUCCACUGCAGAGGGCAUAGGUUCGAUCCCUGGUUAGAGAA
rnacentral:tRNA from 1 species